rnacentral:rRNA from 1 species
GACGAAGGGGGCUAGCGUUGUUCGGAAUUACUGGGCGUAAAGCGCGUGUAGGCGGCCCGAUAAGUCCGCUGUGAAAGUCCAGGCCUCAACCCUGGGAUGCCGGUGGAUACUGUCGGGCUCGAGUCCGGAAGAGGCGAGUGGAAUUCCUGGUGUAGCGGUGAAAUGCGCAGAUAUCAGGAGGAACACCAAUGGCGAAGGCAGCUCGCUGGGACGUGACUGACGCUGAGACGCGAAAGCGUGGGGAGCAAACAGG